GAACGAGUUCUCGUUGAUGAUCGGUGCUUGCACCGAGAUUCAACAUGGAACGAGUGGCGGACGGGUGAGUAACACGUGGGUAACCUGCCCUUAAGUGGGGGAUAACAUUUGGAAACAGAUGCUAAUACCGCAUAGAUCCAAGAACCGCAUGGUUCUUGGCUGAAAGAUGGCGUAAGCUAUCGCUUUUGGAUGGACCCGCGGCGUAUUAGCUAGUUGGUGAGGUAAUGGCUCACCAAGGCGAUGAUACGUAGCCGAACUGAGAGGUUGAUCGGCCACAUUGGGACUGAGACACGGCCCAAACUCCUACGGGAGGCAGCAGUAGGGAAUCUUCCACAAUGGACGCAAGUCUGAUGGAGCAGCGCCGCGUGAGUGAAGAAGGCUUUCGGGUCGUAAAACUCUGUUGUUGGAGAAGAAUGGUCGGCAGAGUAACUGUUGUCGGCGUGACGGUAUCCAACCAGAAAGCCACGGCUAACUACGUGCCAGCAGCCGCGGUAAUACGUAGGUGGCAAGCGUUAUCCGGAUUUAUUGGGCGUAAAGCGAGCGCAGGCGGUUUUUUAAGUCUGAUGUGAAAGCCCUCGGCUUAACCGAGGAAGCGCAUCGGAAACUGGGAAACUUGAGUGCAGAAGAGGACAGUGGAACUCCAUGUGUAGCGGUGAAAUGCGUAGAUAUAUGGAAGAACACCAGUGGCGAAGGCGGCUGUCUGGUCUGUAACUGACGCUGAGGCUCGAAAGCAUGGGUAGCGAACAGGAUUAGAUACCCUGGUAGUCCAUGCCGUAAACGAUGAAUGCUAGGUGUUGGAGGGUUUCCGCCCUUCAGUGCCGCAGCUAACGCAUUAAGCAUUCCGCC
rnacentral:rRNA from 1 species